AUGUAUUUUGGAUCCUUUGUCAUAUCAAGAAUUGAAGAAAUCGGUAUGGCCCAAUUUAACGCUGGAGCCAAAAAGUGUGUGCUGCAACGUAAACGAGUGAAUUUAAUCCCAUUGCUCCGUCAUUCGUGCGUCAAUAACAGAAUCGUGAACCAAGAGCAGUUAUAUCUCGUGAUGUGACAUCAACACUGACAGUAAAUCAACCACACUGUCGCUAUACUUAUUCACUACGAUUGUCUGGGAAGCGGAGAUCUUCUUAUUUUUCCUCUUCUGACGACUGUCCCCGUACGUAAUAAAUGCAUGGGUUAUUAUUUCGCGCGUGUAAUAUUGAUGGCGUCAUGAAUGUUGCAUGGGGGUACGAGGCGUCCCAAGGAGAUGGAAAGGAGAGCAGCGGGGGAGGUGGUGAGGGUAGCAAGACGAACACGGGGCUUCGAGGAUGCCUGCGGGUGCCUGGGGGUGCAUGCGCGAAAGCUGCUCUCUGUUAUUGAUCCAGCGAGCCUUUCCACUGUUGUGGACCCCGCUCAGAAUUCAGGGCCGUGCCAAUGGACUCGAGGAAAUACAGAACUUUUCUCUGAUCUGCCUGCGCUCACUUCAAAAUUGAGACAGCCAACACGGUCGGUGAUCCGAUAAUCAUUAGUCUCAACUUUGUCCUGGAACUCUAGGAGCAGCGACUCUUCCGUCGACUCUUUGAGAACUAUGACAUACUUCGUGCAAACGUCAGCAAUGACGCAUAUUAUUCUCACCUAUACUGAUUUAAGGUACCUCAGCAUGAGAAAGUCACAUUUCACACUCCGCCCGUGUUUAUUUGGUGAACAUUUCGGUAAUUCGAGAUGGACGAAGAUAUGAUCGUUGUUCCAUUUCAAAAUCGUCUGCAUGGCGAUGGUAUAUUUGUUACCGACGAAUAAUUGAAAUAAUCGUGAUACAUAUCGUUUACAUGACGCGUUAAUUAACAAACACAGUUGUAAUGCGCGAAAGUAAAAACGUCAUGAACAAAUAUGCCAAAAGUCCUGCAAUGAGUAAGAUUGAUAAUGGAGAAGUCAAGCACAACGAGUGUGAAAAUUAAUAUAAUUGGUGAAAAUAAAGAUGAUUGCAAACAUCGUUCGGCAAUCUUUACCUCCUACGCUCCUGGCAAAGAUGCAGCAGCGGUGGCAGCGGCAGGAGAAAAAGGAACGGUACCAUUGGUUGGGUGGAUGGCCGACCGGCCCCUGAAUAUGCAUUCGCGACUAGAGCGAGGCGUUGUCCCCUUCAGAAACCAAAUACCCUUCGCACCCCCGACGGACCACUCAAGGGUAUUGCCACUGUUUUCUAUUUCGACUCUCGUCGCCAGGGACUUGGCGUCGAGCAUUUCACUCUCGCCGACCACGGUCUUUGCGACUCUGUUCUUUCCACCUGCGUGCAGGAACACGACAAUUUUUUCUGCCAUCUUUUUUUAUAUUGGGAGGAUUCCUUAAAGGUUAACGAUAUGAACGACGCUCUCCCGGCGGGUCGGCAACUGAAAUUAUAUCUGGCGUACUUACUGCAUGUUAUGUGUAACUUCAGUUGCCUAUCUGCCAGCGAGCCAUCAUUCCCAUCGUUAACCCUCAAGGAAUCAUCCCGGUGUAAGAGCGGGUAAUUGCAAAAGCAAUUUACACGUGUUUACUUAAAUACGGCAAUAAAAAUUACUAGGAAAUGUCUUUGAGGGUUUUCAAUGUAGUCACUUGUAAGCCAUAUAUGUUUAAGAUACGGUUACCACUGGUUAUGAAAAACCGGGAAUUUAGAGACGGACUGUAAGGACUUGGAAAAAUCAUCUUUUAAUUAGUCAUGGAAUUUUUUGGCGGGGGAGACCGAGAGAGAUUAA